GACAAAAGGCAAAGGACUAAUGCUGGGAAAAAGGCAUGAAAUAAAGAUUUGUACUGUACAGUUCAUAUUAGUAGGGAAAAUGUAUGCUCUAUGUUAUAUAUUUUCUUUACAGUGAUGAUUUUCAUUACGUGAAUUCCAGAGAUGAUUGUUAUGAUUUUAAAGAGGUGAUGAUGCAAGCAAACUUGUUACUGACUUAAAUGAUCUUACUGGAGAAGGAAAGUUGAAAUGGGAUUGAAAGAGCUUGCUUCUUUAAAGGUUUUCAGAAAUAUUUUACAUGGCUUAAAUAUAUUGUUAUGGGAAAUUCAUUCAUCUUAGUAAUUUUUGUUACCUUUCUGUAAAAGGUUGAGGAUGAUGCAAUUGUGCAAGCAUUAGCUCAACAGUGGCGUCCAAAUUCUGCUCAAAUUCUGCUCAACAAUUAGUCUCGGGUAUGUAUUGUUACUGCUGUCACCAUUCUUGUUAUGCUGCGCUUACAUAACUCUUGAAUGAUUGAAGAGAAGCUUUUUAAAAACCACAAAAACACAUUUUGUUGAAAGAUUAACACCAGUUAGCUCGUGAAUAAUGUCAUUAGAUUGACAUAUUUUGUAUCAUCAUUAGAUCGAACACUCUUAAUAAACUUUCCAUAUUGAUUUUAAAAAGAGGGAGGAAAUAGACAAAUAUUCAACAAACCUUAUAUUUAUUCUUCAAAAGAUAACCAUGUCACAAUAGUACAGUCAUCAAUUGAUGUCACAAACCACAUAGCCCCGUGUGUAGAGUUAGUAAUAGGUCACCACACAUAAGAAUACUAACUGUAAUAGACAGUUAGUCAGUUAUUGUUGAUUGUCUCCCUUCCUUCUUUCGUAAACUUUCCAUUUAUUUUCAUUCCCAUC
rnacentral:lncRNA from 1 species